rnacentral:rRNA from 1 species
GAUGAACGCUGGCGGCGUGCCUAAUACAUGCCAGUCGAGCGAACAGAUGAGGAGCUUGCUCCUCUGACGUUAGCGGCGGACGGGUGAGUAACACGUGGAUAACCUACCUAUAAGACUGGGAUAACUUCGGGAAACCGGAGCUAAUACCGGAUAAUAUAUUGAACCGCAUGGUUCAAUAGUGAAAGACGGUUUUGCUGUCACUUAUAGAUGGAUCCGCGCCGCAUUAGCUAGUUGGUAAGGUAACGGCUUACCAAGGCAACGAUGCGUAGCCGACCUGAGAGGGUGAUCGGCCACACUGGAACUGAGACACGGUCCAGACUCCUACGGGAGGCAGCAGUAGGGAAUCUUCCGCAAUGGGCGAAAGCCUGACGAAGCAACGCCGCGUGAGUGAUGAAGGUCUUCGGAUCGUAAAACUCUGUUAUUAGGGAAGAACAAAUGUGUAAGUAACUAUGCACGUCUUGACGGUACCUAAUCAGAAAGCCACGGCUAACUACGUG